rnacentral:rRNA from 1 species
CAGCAGCCGCGGGAAUACGAAGGGUGCAAGCGUUAAUCGGAAUUACUGGGCGUAAAGCGUGCGUAGGCGGUUUGUUAAGUCUGUUGUGAAAUCCCCGGGCUCAACCUGGGAAUGGCAAUGGAUACUGGCAAGCUAGAGUGUGUCAGAGGAUGGUGGAAUUCCCGGUGUAGCGGUGUAAUGCGUAGAGAUCGGAAGGAACAUCUGUGGCGAAGGCGACUAUCUGGGCCAACACUGACACUGGGGCACGAAAGCGUGGGGAGCAAACAGGAUUAGAUACCCCUGUAGUCCCUGUCUCUUAUAC